UGGGCAAUCUGCCCUGCACUCUGGGACAAGCCCUGGAAACGGGGUCUAAUACCGGAUGAUACUUUUUCCUGCAUGGGGAAGGGUUGAAAGCUCCGGCGGUGCAGGAUGAGCCCGCGGCCUAUCAGCUUGUUGGUGGGGUGAUGGCCUACCAAGGCGACGACGGGUAGCCGGCCUGAGAGGGCGACCGGCCACACUGGGACUGAGACACGGCCCAGACUCCUACGGGAGGCAGCAGUGGGGAAUAUUGCACAAUGGGCGAAAGCCUGAUGCAGCGACGCCGCGUGAGGGAUGACGGCCUUCGGGUUGUAAACCUCUUUCAGCAGGGAAGAAGCGAAAGUGACGGUACCUGCAGAAGAAGCGCCGGCUAACUACGUGCCAGCAGCCGCGGUAAUACGUAGGGCGCAAGCGUUGUCCGGAAUUAUUGGGCGUAAAGAGCUCGUAGGCGGUUUGUCACGUCGGUUGUGAAAGCCCGGGGCUUAACUCCGGGUCUGCAGUCGAUACGGGCAGACUAGAGUGUGGUAGGGGAGAUCGGAAUUCCUGGUGUAGCGGUGAAAUGCGCAGAUAUCAGGAGGAACACCGGUGGCGAAGGCGGAUCUCUGGGCCAUUACUGACGCUGAGGAGCGAAAGCGUGGGGAGCGAACAGGAUUAGAUACCCUGGUAGUCCACGCCGUAAACGCUUGGGAACUAGGUGUUGGCGACAUUCACGUCGUCGGUG
rnacentral:rRNA from 2 species